rnacentral:rRNA from 1 species
AGGAUGAACGCUGGCGGCGUGCCUAACACAUGCAAGUCGAACGUCCUGUCUCGCAAGAGGCAGGGAGUGGCGGACGGGUGAGUACCACGUGGGUUAUCUACCGUGAGGUGAGGAAUACCGGCGAGAAAUCGCCGACAAGACCGCAUAGCCUCGGUGCAAGCCGAGCAAAGCUCUUUCGAGAGAGGGAGCGCCACACGAGGAGCCUGCGCCCGAUUAGCUAGCUGGUGGAGUAACGGUUCACCAGGGCGACGAUCGGUAGCUGGUCUGAGAGGACGAUCAGCCACACUGGGAUUGAGGACGGCCCAGACUCCUACGGGGGGCAGCAGUGAGGAAUUUUCGUCAAUGGGGGCAACCCUGAACGAGCAACGCCGCGUGCAGGAAGAAGGUUUUCGGAUCGUAAACUGCUUUUCGUCGGGAAGAGAACGGACGGUACCCGAGGAAUCAGCCCCGGCUAACUACGUGCCAGCAGCCGC